UACAGAGGGGGCAAGCGUUGUUCGGAAUUACUGGGCAUAAAGGGCGCGUAGGCGGCCUGUUAAGUCGGACGUGAAAUCCCCGGGCUCAACCCGGGAACUGCGUCCGAUACUGGCAGGCUUGAAUCCGGGAGAGGGAUGUGGAAUUCCAGGUGUAGCGGUGAAAUGCGUAGAUAUCGGAAGGAACACCUGUGGCGAAAGCGGCUCACUGGACCAUUACUGACGCUGAGGCACGAAAGCUAGGGGAGCAAACAGG
rnacentral:rRNA from 1 species